rnacentral:rRNA from 1 species
GGGCACUGGCCGUUAGCUAUCUGCAAGUCGAACGAACUCUGGUAUUGAUUGGUGCUUGCAUCAUGAUUUACAUUUGAGUGAGUGGCGAACUGGUGAGUAACACGUGGGUAACCUGCCCAGAAGCGGGGGAUAACACCUGGAAACAGAUGCUAAUACCGCAUAACAACUUGGACCGCAUGAUCCUAGUUUGAAAGAUGGCUUCGCCUCUCACUUUUGGAUGGUCCCGCGGCGUAUUAGCUAGAUGGUGGGGUAACGGCUCACCAUGGCAAUGAUACGUAGCCGACCUGAGAGGGUAAUCGGCCACAUUGGGACUGAGACACGGCCCAACCCCCAACGGAAGGCACCAUUAGGAAACCUUCCCCAUGGAACAAAAUUCGAUGGAGCAACGCCGCGUGAGUGAAGAAGGGUUUCGGCUCGUAAAACUCUGUUGUUAAAGAGAACAUAUCUGAGAGUACUGUUCAGGUAUACGGUAUUUAACCAGAGCCACGGCUAACUACUUGCCACCACCCGCGGUAUUACUUAGGUGGCAACCUUUGUCCGAAUUUAUGGGCCUUAAAACAAUCUCAGGCGGUUUUUUAAUUCUAAUGUGAAACCCUUCGGUUCACCCAAAAAAUUGCAUCAAAAAUGGUAAAACUUGAUUGCAAAAAAGAACAUGGAAACUCCGUUGUACCGUGGAAAUGCUUAAAUAUUGAAAAAACCCAUGGCCAAAGGCGGUUGCCUGGCCUGUACUUGACCUUAAAGCUCAAACUAUGGUUACCAAACAGAAUUAAAACCCGGGUAUUCCGACCGUAACCAAGGAUGCAAUGGUUGAAGGUUUCCCCCUUCAGGCUGCCCUAACGCAUUAAGCAUUCCGCCUGGGGAGUACGGCCGCAAGGCUGAAACUCAAAGGAAUUGACGGGGGCCCGCACAAGCGGUGGAGCAUGUGGUUUAAUUCGAAGCUACGCGAAGAACCUUACCAGGCUUGACAACUAGCAAUCUAAAAAAUAUAUUUCCUUCGGGACUGGAUACGGGGGGGCAGGUUGCCUCCCUCGGCCGGAAAUUUGGGUAAUCCCGAACGAGCCACCCUUAUUACAUUGCCACAUCAGUGGGCCUCGGUGAACUGCGGGAAAACCGAAGAAGGGGGGAAAACUCAAUCUCAGCCCUUAGACUGGCUACCCCUGCUAAAUGGAGGUAACCAGUGGGACUCCGAGGUAGCAAUCUUAAAGCAUCCAGUCCGAUGAGGUGCACUCCCCAUGAUGGAUCCUAAAUCGGAACCAUGCCGGGAAACUUCCGGCCUGAACCCCCCUCCACCGGAUUGAACCCAACGUGGGUACCUUGGAACCCCAUGGGAAGAUAGGGAAUCAAGGCCGAACCUGGCUGGGCUAGGCCUAAGCUUAAAAAAAUGGUUGAAUUAACUAUAAGGACCGG